rnacentral:lncRNA from 1 species
AGGGAGAGACAAUCACUACCAACAAAAAGGGUAAAUGAAAGAUAACUCGCUGGAGAUAAAUUGCUUUAUCAGGGCAAUCAUCCAAGAGACAUAUCACCGGCUACUGGGAGAUAUACUCAAAAUUGAAGGAAUGUUGAUACCGAAUAUUGGAUAAGGAUAACCAACCAAGAAGGGGUUACAUCUACCGGUUACUGGGCAGCAAACCACGGAAG